rnacentral:tRNA from 1 species
GUUGAUGUAGCUCAGUGGUUUAGAGCACUCGUCUGAUAAGCGAGAGGUCGUUGGUUCAAAUCCAAUCAUCAACACCA